AAAAGGCGACCGAAGAAUAAACCUGGCCCAAAAUCAUCAGGGUCCUAGAGAAGGAAAACUUCAUUUGAAACCCGGAACGGGGUCUCUGUCAAGCAUUCGUGGGAAAGCUCUAAAAUGCGAAAGACUCCUGAGCCGACC